CAGGAGAAGCAGAAUGGUAUCCUGCCUACCCACAGCACAGCCCUUCACUGCCACCAGGAGCUAAGCCUGCACUGAGCCCACCAGGUCAGGGCUGAUGCAGUGAGUGCUUCCUCCAGUUCUCACCAGGAGAAUUUGCCCAGCUCUUCUAAGGAUGAAAAAGAUUGCAGAGGGGUUGUCUACAGGUUUUCUCUUUCCAACACUGUCUACCAGCUAGAAAUGAUAUCCUGUGUAAUGACUAUGGAAGGCAAAACUUCCCCUGAUCUUGCAGUUUUCGUAUUCCCUGCUGCUACUGGUACCACAACCUGAGUCACAGGGAAGAAAGGAAGAAAGAGGAUGAUGGUUUUAAUGUCUCUGAUGGAUCAUACUCUCCCAUCAGAUGAGCCCCGCUAAAUAUGUAAAGGCAGCAGCGAAGGGUGUUCAUUCUGCUCGCCAGCAGGUGGUGGAAGGAAGAAGCAAGGAGUGAGGUCUAUUCCCAUCUUCUGCUCUGGCUGGCUUUCACAAACAUGACCGUUUUCUUACUGUGGUGCUCCUAGAGCAAUGUAAGUAAAUGUAAUUACUCCCACUUUAUGGAGAGGGACUGUAGCUCACCCAAAAUUAAAGGGAGGGAGGGGGAUGUGAAGAACUAGGGCUGAGAUUUCAACCCUCUGUGAAGAAUUGCUGUCAAUUUUUGCAAGCAAAUUCUAGUUGAAAGCUACAGGAAAAAAUAAAAAUAAAAAAAUAAUGGCAACCAUAUCAAAUAAAAACACUGUACUAGGAA